GAGUUUAGAUUCGAUAACACAUGUGAUACCAAAAUUGUGAACAAUACAGAGAAGAUUAGCAUGGCCCCUGCACAAGGAUGACACACAAAUUUGUGAAGGUUUCUGUAUUGGA
rfam:Loxodonta africana unplaced genomic scaffold scaffold_40, whole genome shotgun sequence.